GACGAACGCUGGCGGCGUGCUUAACACAUGCAAGUCGAGCGGUAAGGCCCUUUCGGGGUACGACGAGCGGCGAACGGGUGAGUAACACGUGGGUGACCUGCCCUCAGCUCUGGGAGUAAGCCCGGGAAACCUGGGUCUAAUACUGGAUAUGACUCCAUGACGCAUGUUGUGGGGUGGAAAGCCUUGUGCGGCUGAGGAUGGGCCCGCGGCCUAUCAGCUUGUU
rnacentral:rRNA from 1 species